GAGAUAGAGCUUCCCCUUCGGGGGCAAAGUGACAGGUGGUGCAUGGUUGUCGUCAGCUCGUGUCGUGAGAUGUUGGGUUAAGUCCCGCAACGAGCGCAACCCUUAUUGUUAGUUGCCAUCAUUUAGUUGGGCACUCUAGCGAGACUGCCGGUGACAAACCGGAGGAAGGUGGGGAUGACGUCAAAUCAUCAUGCCCCUUAUGACCUGGGCUACACACGUGCUACAAUGGGAAGUACAACGAGUUGCGAAGUCGCGAGGCUAAGCUAAUCUCUUAAAGCUUCUCUCAGUUCGGAUUGUAGGCUGCAACUCGCCUACAUGAAGCCGGAAUCGCUAGUAAUCGCGGAUCAGCACGCCGCGGUGAAUACGUUCCCGGGCCUUGUACACACCGCCCGUCACACCACGAGAGUUUGUAACACCCGAAGUCGGUGAGGUAACCUUUUUGGAGCCAGCCGCCUAAGGUGGGAUAGAUGAUUGGGGUGAAGUCGUAACAAGGUAGCCGUAUCGGAA
rnacentral:rRNA from 1 species